AAAUAGGAAAGGCAUAUUCCAGGAUUACUUUUUUCAUUUGCCUAGAAAAGCACUUUAAAAGAGAGUACGAUACCUCAGAUUCUGAUUCUGAAAUUGUCAUCACAACAAGGAGCAGAGCUGAAUUCAAUCGAGCUGACACUUUGGUUUUUGAACCACAAAAUCGAAGUACUCCCAAAUACAAACUGGAAGAUGAAAGAGAUGCACCAGGACAAUCAUCAACAAUUCAGCCAGGACAGGUAAUAAGGCAGACUGUGGCAGCAUGACAUUUCUUGCUUUCAGUGUUGUUGUUUAAGACAUUUUAAUCUGUUUUUCAGAUAGUAAUAUCUGAUGCUGAGGAUCUGGAUCCACCUGAAACAAAUCCAGAAAAACCGUCUUGCUACAGUAAAUACACAGACCUGUUUUCACCAAAUGUUGAGCAAGAAGACGAAGAGCCGGUUGCUGUCAAUGUGACGAAUUUUCAACACACAGCAAUGUAAUAUGACAGCUUUUGACUAUAGCACUCCAGUUUUUUCACUGUACAAUAGUUCUGGUAUAUCC